UUCGGUGACUAUUGCGAUAGGGUCCACCUCUUCCCAUUUCGAACAGAGCAGUUAAGCCUAUCAGCGCAGAUGGUACUAGGGUAAUACCUGGAAGAGUAUGUCGUUGCCACUU
rnacentral:rRNA from 1 species